rnacentral:rRNA from 1 species
GGAUUAGAUACCCUGGUAGUCCGCACGGUAAACGAUGGAUGCCCGCUGUUGGUCUGAAUAGGUCAGCGGCCAAGCGAAAGCAUUAAGCAUCCCACCUGGGGAGUACGCCGGCAACGGUGAAACUCAAAGGAAUUGACGGGGGCCCGCACAAGCGGAGGAACAUGUGGUUUAAUUCGAUGAUACGCGAGGAACCUUACCCGGGCUUGAAUUGCAGAGGAAGGAUUUGGAGACAAUGACGCCCUUCGGGGUCUCUGUGAAGGUGCUGCAUGGUUGUCGUCAGCUCGUGCCG